rnacentral:rRNA from 1 species
CCUACGGGAGGCAGCAGGGAGGAAUAUUGGUCAAUGGACGGAAGUCUGAACCAGCCAGGCCGCGUGCAGGAAGACGGCUCUAUGAGGUGUAAACUGCUGUUGUACAAGGGUAAACCUGAAUACGUGUAUCCAGCUGAAAGUACUGUACGAAUAAGGAUCGGCUAACUCCGUGCCAGCAGCCGCGGUAAUACGGAGGAUCCAAGCGUUAUCCGGAUUUAUUGGGUUUAAAGGGUGCGUAGGCGGGUUGCUAAGUUAGAGGUGAAAUGUCAGCGCUUAACUCGGGAACUGCCUUUAAUACUGUUGGUCUCGAGAGUCGCUGCGGUAGGCGGAAUGUCUGGUGUAGCGGU